AUUGAACGCUGGCGGCAUGCCUUACACAUGCAAGUCGAACGGUAACAGGUCUUCGGAUGCUGACGAGCGGCGAACGGGUGAGUAAUACAUCGGAACGUGCCUAGUAGUGGGGGAUAACUACUCGAAAGAGUGGCUAAUACCGCAUGAGAUCUACGGAUGAAAGCAGGGGAUCGCAAGACCUUGCGCUACGAGAGCGGCCGAUGGCAGAUUAGGUAGUUGGUGGGAUAAAAGCUUACCAAGCCGACGAUCUGUAGCUGGUCUGAGAGGACGAUCAGCCACACUGGGACUGAGACACGGCCCAGACUCCUACGGGAGGCAGCAGUGGGGAAUUUUGGACAAUGGGCGCAAGCCUGAUCCAGCAAUGCCGCGUGCAGGAUGAAGGCCUUCGGGUUGUAAACUGCUUUUGUACGGAACGAAAAGCCCUGGGUUAAUACCCUGGGGUCAUGACGGUACCGUAAGAAUAAGCACCGGCUAACUACGUGCCAGCCGCCGCGGUAA
rnacentral:rRNA from 1 species